GACACUUCCGGUAUUACAUUGGCGGGAUAACACAAACGAGGUCCUUCUCGGAUAACGCGACGUGUUUGAUUCAAAGCCAAGCGGCUCUACGAUUUUCACACCCAAGAUGCAGCUCCACAUCACGCAGCACAGAGUGGGCAGGAGCAGAGCCAGUAGUGAUGAGGGGAUUGUUCCUGUCAGUAUAAAGGAACAGCUUUUGAAUUCACGGCGGUCUGUUGGUCGCUCCAUUUUAAAUGAUGAAGAAUGAGGGGGUGCCAACAUGCCUAUGAGUACGAGACCGACACGAAGACAAAGACACAUGGAAAGUUUAUCCACCUGAAUGGGAGAGCAGCAAAACUAGGACAUUUUAGACAGAUGCCAGUACAAACUUGCUGAGCUUCAAACAAAGCCCUGCAGAAUGGAUGGCUACAUUGCAGAGUGCCCAGUGGGAAAUGCAGCCUGAGGCAGCCUCCAAGAGGCACCAACAACUAUUUUUUUUUACAAAUGAA